rnacentral:rRNA from 1 species
UACACUCCUGCGGGAGGCAGCAGUGGGGAAUAUUGCACAAUGGGCGCAAGCCUGAUGCAGCCAUGCCGCGUGUAUGAAGAAGGCCUUCGGGUUGUAAAGUACUUUCAGCGGGGAGGAAGGCAAUACGGUUAAUAACCGUGUUGAUUGACGUUACCCGCAGAAGAAGCACCGGCUAACUCCGUGCCAGCAGCCGCGGUAAUACGGAGGGUGCAAGCGUUAAUCGGAAUUACUGGGCGUAAAGCGCACGCAGGCGGUCUGUCAAGUCGGAUGUGAAAUCCCCGGGCUCAACCUGGGAACUGCAUUCGAAACUGGCAGGCUUGAGUCUUGUAGAGGGGGGUAGAAUUCCAGGUGUAGCGGUGAAAUGCGUAGAGAUCUGGAGGAAUACCGGUGGCGAAGGCGGCCCCCUGGACAAAGACUGACGCUCAGGUGCGAAAGCGUGGGGAGCAAACAGAAUUAGAAACCCGGGUAGUCCCA